rnacentral:tRNA from 6 species
GCCCGGAUAGCUCAGUUGGUAGAGCACUUCCUUGGUAAGGAAGAGGUCAGCGGUUCAAUCCCGCUUUCGGGCU